rnacentral:rRNA from 1 species
GAUGAACGCUGACAGAAUGCUUAACACAUGCAAGUCUACUUGAAUUUAGGUUUUUUAACUUCGAUUUGGGUGGCGGACGGGUGAGUAACGCGUAAAGAACUUGCCUCACAGUUAGGGACAACAUUUGGAAACGAAUGCUAAUACCUAAUAUUAUGAUUUUAGGGCAUCCUAUAAUUAUGAAAGCUAUAAGCGCUGUGAGAGAGCUUUGCGUCCCAUUAGCUAGUUGGAGAGGUAACGGCUCACCAAGGCGAUGAUGGGUAGCCGGCCUGAGAGGGUGAUCGGCCACAAGGGGACUGAGACACGGCCCUUACUCCUACGGGAGGCAGCAGUGGGGAAUAUUGGACAAUGGACCAAGAGUCUGAUCCAGCAAUUCUGUGUGCACGAUGAAGUUUUUCGGAAUGUAAAGUGCUUUCAGUUGGGAAGAAAAAAAUGACGGUACCAACAGAAGAAGUGACGGCUAAAUACGUGCCAGCAGCCGCGGUAAUACGUAUGUCACGAGCGUUAUCCGGAUUUAUUGGGCGUAAAGCGCGUCUAGGUGGUUAUAUAAGUCUAAUGUGAAAAUGCAGGGCUCAACUCUGUAUUGCGUUGGAAACUGUAUAACUAGAGUACUGGAGAGGUAAGCGGAACUACAAGUGUAGAGGUGAAAUUCGUAGAUAUUUGUAGGAAUGCCGAUGGGGAAGCCAGCUUACUGGACAGAUACUGACGCUGAAGCGCGAAAGCGUGGGUAGCAAACAGG